rnacentral:rRNA from 1 species
AACGAACGCUGGCGGCGUGCUUAACACAUGCAAGUCGAACGCGAAAGUUUUCUUCGGAAGACGAGUAGAGUGGCGCACGGGUGAGUAACGCGUAAGUUAUCUACCUCGGCAUCUGGAAUAACUCACCGAAAGGUGUGCUAAUACCGGAUACGUUGAGUAAUCAAGAAAGGUGGCCUCUGAAUAUGCUACUGUGCUGGGAUGAGCUUGCGUACCAUUAGCUAGUUGGUAGGGUAAUGGCCUACCAAGGCGACGAUGGUUAGCGGGUCUGAGAGGAUGAUCCGCCACACUGGAACUGGAACACGGACCAGACUCCUACGGGAGGCAGCAGUGAGGAAUAUUGCGCAAUGGGGGCAACCCUGACGCAGCGACGCCGCGUGGAUGAUGAAGGCCUUCGGGUCGUAAAAUCCUGUCAAGUGGAAAGAAGUGCAUGGUGGUUAAUACCCAUCAUGUUUGACGGUACCACUGAAGGAAGCACCGGCUAACUCCGUGCCAGCAGCCGCGGUAAUACGGAGGGUGCAAGCGUUGUUCGGAAUUACUGGGCGUAAAGCGCGCGUAGGCGGUUUUAUAAGUCAGAUGUGAAAGCCCAUGGCUCAACCAUGGACGUGCAUUUGAAACUGUGAGACUUGAGUAUUGGAGGGGGUGGUGGAAUUCCCGGUGUAGAGGUGAAAUUCGUAGAUAUCGGGAGGAAUACCAGUGGCGAAGGCGACCACCUGGCCAAAUACUGACGCUGAGGUGCGAAAGCGUGGGGAGCAAACAGGAUUAGAUACCCUGGUAGUCCACGCCGUAAACGAUGUCAACUAGGUGUUGGGACGGUUAAUCGUCUCAUUGCCGCAGCUAACGCAUUAAGUUGACCGCCUGGGGAGUACGGUCGCAAGAUUA